rnacentral:rRNA from 1 species
GAUGAACGCUGACAGAAUGCUUAACACAUGCAAGUCGACCUGAAUGUGGGUUUUUAACUUAGGUUUGGGUGGCGGACGGGUGAGUAACGCGUAAAGAACUUGCCUCACAGCUAGUGACAACAUUUGGAAACGAAUGCUAAUAUCUAAUAUUAUGAUAAUAGAGCAUCCUAUAAUUAUGAAAGCUAUAAGCGCUGUGGGAGAGCUUUGCGUCCAAUCAGCUAGUUGGAGAGGUAGCGGCUCACCAAGGCGAUGAUGGGUAGCCGGCCUGAGAGGGUGAUCGGCCAAAAGGGGCCUGAGAAACGGCCAGUACUCUUACGGGAGGAAGAAGUGGGGAAUAUGGGAAAAGGGCGCGAGAGUUUGAUAGAGAAAUUCUGUGUGCAAGAUGAAGUUUUUCGGAAUGUAAAGUGCUUUCAGUUGGGAAGAAACAAAUGACGGUAACAACAGAAGAAGUGACGGCUAAAUACGUG